rnacentral:lncRNA from 1 species
AUAUGAACAGAGAUAGAGGAUGCAUGGGAUUUGGUCAACAAAAUGAGUGAUGGGAAAGUCAAGGUUGAUGAUGUGUCUGGUACUUUGGAGAGCUUGGGGAUGAAGUUACCUGAUGAAGACCUUCUAGACGUUCUAAAAUUGAUUCAACCUGAUGAUGAUGGAUUAGUAAAAAUAAAGGAUGUUGUCGAGACAUUAGCUAAGACUCCACAAGUUACUAGGCCUCAUGGAUUAAAAAAUGCAUGGACUGUCGUCAACAGUGUCACUGAUGGGAAGAUCAAGAUGUCUGAUCUGUCCCCAGCCCUGGAGAGCUGGGGAUUUGAGUUAACUGAUGAAAAGCUUAAAGAGACAGUGAAAUCUAUGGAGUCUGUUGAACCGGAAAGUGUGAAUUUACAAGAUCUUAUCAAGAAAUACACUAAGGCCAAGAAAUUGAGUAAGAACCAAAAAUUACAAGAUGCCUGGACUGUUGUCAACGCUGUCUCAGAUGGUAAAGUAAAGCCUUCUGAUCUGAGAUCUAUACUAGAAAGCAUUGGUUUGGAUUUAAAUCCAGAAGAAAUUAAAGAAAUACUGAAAUAUGUGCACAUUGAUGAGAAUGGAACAAUAAAUUUAAAUGAUGUUAUCAAUAAAUUGACAUACUUGCAGAAAUGGAAUGACAGCCAAAGGAUACGACAUGCAUAUAUUAUUGUCACUAAUGUCAAGGAUGGGAAAGUCAAGAUGAUGAUCUGCCAUCUACCUUGGAGAACUUGGGAUUCGAUUUAG